ensembl:lincRNA
CUCGCCGCUCACACGCCCCCUGCGCGCCGGGCCCGUACACCGCCACCGGCACUCGGCGAGCCAGCCGGCCUUCGCCCGGCCGCUGGGCCGCCGCCUGGGCACCGCGCCGCGCCCGCCCUCCACCCGGCCGGCUCCUGUCCUCCCCGCCACAUCCUGACCCGCCUGCUGCCCCCUUUCUUACCGGCAGGCUUGGCGGGGCGGAGGGAGCCGACUCCAGUCGACGGCCUCCCCCGCGCCCAGGCCUGGGAUCUCCGCCGCCGAGGUCCUAGAGCUCCGGCGUCUCCGGCUUUAGUGGAUUUCAGCCAGUUGCAACUGAAAGAGCCCUGCCUCAGUUUGACUGUGAAUGGGGUUGCAAAUAACAAACCUCAGAGAAACUGGAACUGGCUGAUUCAAGAUAAGAUGGGGGGUAAUGUGGACUUUCCACCAUUAAGAUGGAAAUUUAGUUUGUGUUAUGCAGCAGUGAAUCUUUUAUCCAGACAUUCUCCAACAGUGUUUUAGAACUCAGUCAUUGAGCGUUGCAUUAGAGAAUUUGGUAGCCAAAUAUAUUUAAAUGUCAAGUAUAUUGGUUACUAUAUGUGAGUUUUGAAAAGUACAUUGGAAAAGAGAGGCAUUCUAAACAAGUUUUCCAGAAAAAAAGCAGAUUGGAGCAAAUUCUGCAAAUUUGACAAUCAUUGAAAGCCGUUUCUGCCUGUAGCCUAUGGUCUAAGAAUGUAAGACCAGAUCAGAUUAUUUGAGAGGCAUGUUUAAUUGCAGUUUUUUUUUUUUUUUUUUUUUUUUGCCACAUUUUUUCUAAUACUAGAGUUUUUACACUGAAUACCAGAAAGUGAAAUCUUAGUAUUAGGAAUAAGACUUGUUAAGGAGAUGCAAGUGAUAAUAAAAGAACUCUAAUUUCUCAGCUCCCGCCCAAAAUAUUUUCUACUGCCUACCCCCUUUCAUGCCUCACAGAAAUAUGAUGAUACUUCACACCAUCUAUCAAUAGCAACUAGGAUCGGAAUGCACUGUGUGUGUAGGGAUAUGACUAAAGGGCAAGCUGGCAUGCCUACUUAUUCUCUUAUUUGCUUGUGAGGCUAAAACAGAACAAUGUCGAUGGACAGAGUCCCAGCUGUUGCUAAGAAACAGAAGUUUAGAAGAAUUGACAACUUAAGGAGAAAGCUGACCCGCUAAGGUCUUCAGCAUUAACUAAAUACAAAAGGAAUCUCCCUAAAAGAAAAUUGUCAGGCAAUCCUUCACAGUAGAGCAGUUGCAUGCCAUAAAACCCCAAUGUGUGCAGUAGACCCAGACCACAGACUAUCUCAACUUCUUGGGCACCUUUCAGUCUCCAAUUCAAAGGAAUGUGCACCUGCCAUAAGUGAGUACCCUUACCCCAAAUGAGGAACCUCAGUGUCUCUCACGUGGGAGUGUACCUGAAGGACUCUAUAAAAGGGAAUCUAAACUAGGUGUAGCCAGAUUUUCUAAUAACUGGUUAGGAAGUGGGUUAAUUAAUUUGUGCCUUGUAAGAUUACAAGGGCCCAUUAUGUCCUAUCAUACUCCUGCUGGAUACAGUAUAUACUCUAUUUGAGCUAGUUAAAUUUGUAUCGAG